rnacentral:misc_RNA from 1 species
UACGUAGGUGGCAAGCGUUGUCCGGAUUUAUUGGGUUUAAAGGGUGCGUAGGCGGCCUUAUAAGUCAGUGCUGAAAUAUCCCGGCUUAACCGGGAGGGUGGCAUUGAUACUGUAGGGCUUGAGUGAAGUCGAGGUAGGCGGAAUUGACGGUGUAGCGGUGAAAUGCUUAGAUAUCGUCAAGAACACCGAUAGUGAAGACAGCUUACUAGACUUCAACUGACGCUGAGGCACGAAAGUGUGGGGAUCAAACAGG